rnacentral:rRNA from 1 species
UGCCCCUACGGGACGCAGCGGUCGGGAAUAUUGCGCAAUGGAGGAAACUCUGACGCAGUGACGCCGCGUAUAGGAAGAAGUUUUUCGGAAUGUAAACUAUUGUCGUUAGGGAGGAGAAAGGACAGUACCUAAGGAGGAAGCUCCGGCUAACUACGUGCCAGCAGCCGCGGUAAUACGUAGGGAGCGAGCGUUAUCCGGAUUUAUUGGGUGUAAAGGGUGCGUAGACGGGAAAACAAGUUAGUUGUGAAAUCCCUCGGCUUAACUGAGGAACUGCAACUAAAACUAUUUUUCUUGAGUGCAGGAGG